ensembl:lincRNA
CAGUGUCCUGAGUUGUUUUAGCCUCUGCAAGGGAUGCUGGGGAGCCUGAAGUGAAACCCCCAGACACUGGGGUCAGACGGGCCUAUGGUCAAAAACACUUUGUAGUACAUGACCUUGCGUAUUGGUUUGCUGGGCAUGCUAUAGCAACAUACCGCAGAUGGGCGGCUUGAACAAAAGAAAUUAAUUUUCUUACAGUUCUGGAGGCUGGAAAUCCAAGACUGAGAUGUCAGCCAGGAUGGUUUCUAUUGAGGUCUGUCUUGGCUUGUAGAUGGCCACCUUCUUACUGUGUCCUUAUAUGGUCUUUCCUUUGUGUAUCUGUAUCCUGAUCUCUUCUUUAGGGACACUAGUCAUAUUGGAUCAGGGCCCACCCUAAUGACCUCAUUUCAACGUACUCACCUCUUUCCAGGCCCUAUCUCCAAACAACCCGCAUUUCCUCAAAAAUGCGGACUUCAACAUGUCUUUUGGGGGAACAAAGACUUUUGGGGAACAAAGUCUUUGGAGGAACACAGGUCAGCCCAUGAUGCCUUGCCCAGCUCACUCCAAACAUGCUGAGCCUCAGUGUCUUCGUCGAUGAAAUGGGGUGAGUGGUCAUAUUCAUGUAAGAGGAGUGUUAGGAUGACCAAAUCAGGUCGUCCUGAUAAUUCACUUGCCUGGCACCUGGCCCCCGGAGCAAGUGCCCCAGUGUCACUCCCUGCUCUUCUUGCUCCCCUGCAGGUGGAUCAGAGGGGGCCAUGAACCUCCUGGUACCUCUUCACCCCUUUGCUCACCAGUUUGGUUAUUCCCUCCAGGCUAAACCAUCUGCUAAGGCCACACUGGACCUUGAAAAGAUACUAAUUGUGAGGGUGAUGGCAACUGCGACACCAGCAAUGGCUGUCUCCUCACUCUGUUCCCCACUGAUCCCAGCAUUCCUCAAGGGGCCUCAGCCAUCCAGAUGGUGCCAGGCACAAAUCAACCUACAGGUGCAGACCUGCUCAGAUUAGAUGGAUUGACAGGUGAGGGGGCCAGGGUAGGAACGGCAUGAGAACAGAGUAUGUAUGUGUGUGUGUGUGAGUCGGGGCGGGGGGAGGUCAUCAAACACUAUGUGGCAUGAUUGCAAUUAGGGAAAAUAUGUUUGAGAAUGUGCUUGUUCUCAUCUGAGGAUAUUACAUAUUGGACGGUCAAUAUGUGAAAUAGAAUCUGGAGAGAAACGCACCCAACAGUCACCAGGGGCUGUCCUGGUUGAGGGAGGAAUGGGGAUGAUCAGGUGGUGGCUUGCAAACAUUUUUGAUCCCUCAGGAGAAAUACGCUUCAUUUCAACCGCCUGGUACACACACAUACACAUGCUUACACAUACACUCCCACAUACACAUAUGCACACACACUCACUCACACGAUAGGUAUAACUGAAGCCAAAGUUGCAGAAACUCCAGCUACCCUAGGUGAAAUGUACGCUGCUAUUCUUACUGUGUUUAUUUUAUUUCAUUCUUCCAAAUGCUUGAC